rfam:Oryza sativa (indica cultivar-group) chromosome 12, whole genome shotgun sequence.
UUUAAGUACAACUAUGAGUUUUCGCGUCCAACUUUAGUCGUCUGUCUUAUUUAAAAAAAUUUAUAAUUAGUAUUUUUUAUGAGAUGAUAAGACAUGAAUAGUACUUUAUGUUUGACUUAUGUUUUAAAUUUUUUUUUAAAAAAAAUAAUUAAGACGGACGAUGGACGCGAAAACUUAUGGCUGCACUUAAA